rnacentral:rRNA from 1 species
AUUCGCUCGCACAACAGACUUAUAACCUUGAAUCCGCCCGAAUUCAUCUCCAGUCUUGCUGGGGUGGAUGAGUGGCGAACGGGUGAGUAAUACGUGAGUAACCUGCCCUUGACUCUGGGAUAAGCCUGGGAAACCGGGUCUAAUACUGGAUACGACGUCCUACCGCAUGGUGGGGGGUGGAAAGGGUUUUACUGGUUUUGGAUGGGCUCACGGCCUAUCAGCUUGUUGGUGGGGUAAUGGCCUACCAAGGCGACGACGGGUAGCCGGCCUGAGAGGGUGACCGGCCACACUGGGACUGAGACACGGCCCAGACUCCUACGGGAGGCAGCAGUGGGGAAUAUUGCACAAUGGGCGCAAGCCUGAUGCAGCGACGCCGCGUGAGGGAUGACGGCCUUCGGGUUGUAAACCUCUUUCAGCAGGGAAGAAGCCACAAGUGACGGUACCUGCAAAGAAGCGCCGGCUAACUACGUGCCAGCAGCCGCGGUAAUACGUAGGGCGCAAGCGUUGUCCGGAAUUAUUGGGCGUAAAGAGCUCGUAGGCGGUUUGUCGCGUCUGCUGUGAAAGCCCGGGCCUCAACCCCCGGUCUGCAGUGG